rnacentral:rRNA from 1 species
GAUGAACGCUGGCGGCGUGCCUAAUACAUGCAAGUCGAGCGAACGGACGAGAAGCUUGCUUCUCUGAUGUUAGCGGCGGACGGGUGAGUAACACGUGGAUAACCUACCUAUAAGACUGGGAUAACUUCGGGAAACCGGAGCUAAUACCGGAUAAUAUUUUGAACCGCAUGGUUCAAAAGUGAAAGACGGUCUUGCUGUCACUUAUAGAUGGAUCCGCGCUGCAUUAGCUAGUUGGUAAGGUAACGGCUUACCAAGGCAACGAUGCAUAGCCGACCUGAGAGGGUGAUCGGCCACACUGGAACUGAGACACGGUCCAGACUCCUACGGGAGGCAGCAGUAGGGAAUCUUCCGCAAUGGGCGAAAGCCUGACGGAGCAACGCCGCGUGAGUGAUGAAGGUCUUCGGAUCGUAAAACUCUGUUAUUAGGGAAGAACAUAUGUGUAAGUAACUGUGCACAUCUUGACGGUACCUAAUCAGAAAGCCACGGCUAACUACGUGCCAGCAGCCGCGGUAAUACGUAGGUGGCAAGCGUUAUCCGGAAUUAUUGGGCGUAAAGCGCGCGUAGGCGGUUUUUUAAGUCUGAUGUGAAAGCCCACGGCUCAACCGUGGAGGGUCAUUGGAAACUGGAAAACUUGAGUGCAGAAGAGGAAAGUGGAAUUCCAUGUGUAGCGGUGAAAUGCGCAGAGAUAUGGAGGAACACCAGUGGCGAAGGCGACUUUCUGGUCUGUAACUGACGCUGAUGUGCGAAAGCGUGGGGAUCAAACAGGAUUAGAUACCCUGGUAGUCCACGCCGUAAACGAUGAGUGCUAAGUGUUAGGGGGUUUCCGCCCCUUAGUGCUGCAGCUAACGCAUUAAGCACUCCGCCUGGGGAGUACGACCGCAAGGUUGAAACUCAAAGGAAUUGACGGGGACCCGCACAAGCGGUGGAGC